CAGCCGUAAACUAUGCGCGUUAGGUGUAUCGGUGACCACGAGUUACCGAGGUGCCGAAGGGAAACCGUGAAACGUGCCGCCUGGAAGUACGGUCGCAAGGCUGAAACUUAAAGGAAUUGGCGGGGGAGCACCACAACAGGUGGAGCCUGCGGUUUAACUGGACUCAACGCCGGGAAGCUCACCGGAUAGGACAGCAGAAUGAUUGCCGGGCUGAAGACCCUGCAUGACUAGCUGAGAGGAGGUGCAUGGCGUCAGUGACU
rnacentral:rRNA from 1 species